rnacentral:misc_RNA from 1 species
GGUAGAACCAGUACUAGUCGUUCUUUCGCCUGCCAAGGCAAUGUAAUUCAGCAAACACUUUCACCGUGGGUUCUAGGCCUUUAGCUCUGCAUAAGCCUCGGAAAGCUACCAAAGUUCGCCAAGAGUUCAGAUGCAAUUGGGCCACACAGUCCCGAUGGUAGUUCAACACGUCCUUAUAAAAUUGUUCCAAGGGAAACCGUAGUCCAGCCUUCAGCUGCUCCUCGUAUAUGACGAUCUAGUACCCCUCCUCAAAACUGUGGUCGGCUCGAAAAUCCCCGUGGCAGCUGAUGAGCUCAUAUGCGUUUGCCGAGAGGUUGAACUACUGACUUAUGUGCGUCAGUUCAGAACGUUUUAGAAUCGAC